GAUGAACGCUGGCGGCGUGCUUAACACAUGCAAGUCGAACGGAAAGGCCCUGGUUUUGUGGGGUGCUCGAGUGGCGAACGGGUGAGUAACACGUGAGUGACCUGCCCUUGACUUUGGGAUAACUUCAGGAAACUGGGGCUAAUACCGGAUAGGACCUCCGGCUGCAUGGCGGGGGUUAGAGAGUUUCGGCGGUUGGGGAUGGACUCGCGGCUUAUCAGCUUGUUGGUGGGGUAGUGGACUACCAAGGCUUCGACGGGUAGCCGGCCUGAGGGGGUGAACGGCCACAUUGGGACUGAGAUACGGCCCAGACUCCUACGGGAGGCAGCAGUGGGGAAUAUUGCACAAUGGGCGGAAGCCUGAUGCAGCAACGCCGCGUGCGGGAUGACGGCCUUCGGGUUGUAAACCCCUUUCGCCAGUGACGAAGCGUGAGUGACGGUAAUUGGUGAAGAAGCACCGGCUAACUACGUG
rnacentral:rRNA from 1 species